GCCGUCAAUUCCUUUGAGUUUUAACCUUGCGGCCGUACUCCCCCAGGCGGUCGACUUAUCGCGUUAGCUGCGCCACUAAGAUCUCAAGGAUCCCAACGGCUAGUCGACAUCGUUUACGGCGUGGACUACCAGGGUAUCUAAUCCUGUUUGCUCCCCACGCUUUCGCACCUCAGUGUCAGUAUCAGUCCAGGUGGUCGCCUUCGCCACUGGUGUUCCUUCCUAUAUCUACGCAUUUCACCGCUACACAGGAAAUUCCACCACCCUCUACCGUACUCUAGCUCAGUAGUUUUGGAUGCAGUUCCCAGGUUGAGCCCGGGGAUUUCACAUCCAACUUGCUGAACCACCUACGCGCGCUUUACGCCCAGUAAUUCCGAUUAACGCUUGCACCCUUCGUAUUACCGCGGCUGCUGGCACGAAGUUAGCCGGUGCUUAUUCUGUUGGUAACGUCAAAACAGCAAGGUAUUAACUUACUGCCCUUCCUCCCAACUUAAAGUGCUUUACAAUCCGAAGACCUUCUUCACACACGCGGCAUGGCUGGAUCAGGCUUUCGCCCAUUGUCCAAUAUUCCCCACUGCUGCCUCCCGUAGGAGUCUGGACCGUGUCUCAGUUCCAGUGUGACUGAUCAUCCUCUCAGACCAGUUACGGAUCGUCGCCUUGGUAGGCCUUUACCCCACCAACUAGCUAAUCCGACCUAGGCUCAUCUGAUAGCGUGAGGUCCGAAGAUCCCCCACUUUCUCCCUCAGGACGUAUGCGGUAUUAGCGCCCGUUUCCGGACGUUAUCCCCCACUACCAGGCAGAUUCCUAGGCAUUACUCACCCGUCCGCCGCUGAAUCCAGGAGCAAGCUCCCUUCAUCCGCUCGACUUGCAUGUGUUAGGCCUGCCGCCAGCGUUCAAUCUGAGCCAGGAUCAAACUCUC
rnacentral:rRNA from 1 species